ACGGAAGGCAGCAGUGGGGAAUAUUGCACAAUGGGGGAAACCCUGAUGCAGCGACGCCGCGUGAAGGAAGAAGUAUCUCGGUAUGUAAACUUCUAUCAGCAGGGAAGAUAAUGACGGUACCUGACUAAGAAGCCCCGGCUAACUACGUGCCAGCAGCCGCGGUAAUACGUAGGGGGCAAGCGUUAUCCGGAUUUACUGGGUGUAAAGGGAGCGUAGACGGCAUGGCAAGUCUGAUGUGAAAACCCGGGGCUCAACCCCGGGACUGCAUUGGAAACUGUCAAGCUAGAGUGCAGGAGGGGUAAGCGGAAUUCCUAGUGUAGCGGUGAAAUGCGUAGAUAUUAGGAGGAACACCGGUGGCGAAGGCGGCUUACUGGACUGUAACUGACGUUGAGGCUCGAAAGCGUGGGGAGCAAACAGGAUUAGAUACCCUGGUA
rnacentral:rRNA from 1 species